rnacentral:rRNA from 1 species
CCUACGGGAGGCAGCAGUGGGGAAUAUUGGUCAAUGGGCGGAAGCCUGACCCAGCCAAGUCGCGUGCAGGAUGACGGCCCUCCGGUUUGUAACCUGCGUUUGUACGGGAGUAACGCGCCUUACGUGUAGGGCUUUGCAUGUACCGUAUGAAUAAGGACAGGCUAAUUCCGUGCCAGCCCCCGCGGUAAUACGGAAGGUCCGGGCGUUAUCCGGAUUUAUUGGGUUUAAGGGGAGCGUAGGGCGCAUGUCAAGCGUGCUGUGAAAUGUCCGGGCUCAACCCGGGCCUUGCAGUGCGAACUGGCGUGCUUGAGUGCGUGGAAAGCAGGUGGAAUU